AUAUGUGGAUGAUGAAAGAAUGAAAUAAAACAGUUAUCCCUGUCUGAUAAUCAAUGCUGAUAUUUCUAAUUCUGACACAAUU